AGAUUUACCUGGCAGGGGAGACACCUUGAUCACGAAGGAGGUUUUCCCAGGGUGAGACUCAUCCAUUGCACUUCGGGUGUGCUGACCCCUGCGAUUUCCCCAAAUGCGGGAAACUCGACUGCAUAAUUUGUGGUAGUGGGCCAGGUGGGCGGGGCCAC